AGAUUGAACGCUGGCGGCAGGCCUAACACAUGCAAGUCGAGCGGUAGAGAGGUGCUUGCAUCUCUUGAGAGCGGCGGACGGGUGAGUAAUGCCUAGGAAUCUGCCUAGUGGUGGGGGAUAACGUUCGGAAACGGACGCUAAUACCGCAUACGUCCUACGGGAGAAAGCGGGGGACCUUCGGGCCUCGCGCCAUUGGAUGAGCCUAGGUCGGAUUAGCUAGUUGGUGAGGUAAUGGCUCACCAAGGCGACGAUCCGUAACUGGUCUGAGAGGAUGAUCAGUCACACUGGAACUGAGACACGGUCCAGACU
rnacentral:rRNA from 1 species